CAGGAGAUAACCCUUGAUCGAUGGAUUUCACUUCCGAAUUCACUGGAUCGACGGAUUUCACCUGCGAAUCCACAUCUCAGGGUUUUUUCUCCGGCUAUGACCCUAGAUCGAUGGUUUUUUCUGUCGAAUCCACAUCUCAGGGUUUCUUUCUCCAGCGAUGACCCUUGAGCGAUGGAUUUCACCGGCGUUUUCAAAUCUCAGGGUUUAUUUCUCCGGCGAUAACCCUAGAGAUAGAUGGAUUUCACCAGCGUUUUCACAUCUCAGGUACCAUCUUAUUAACCAGAUCUGUAACUAUUUUCUUGCAGAUCUGUUAAAUUUUAGGGUUUGUUUCUACUUGAUUUGUGAAAUAGAUCCAGAUCUGUAACUAUUUUCUUGCAGAUCUGGUUACUUUCAGAUCCGUACAGUUUUAGUCAUGUUUUAAUCGGUAAAGUUAUCGGAUACUGAUUUGCUUCUUUUUCUAUCAUGGAUGUGAAUAAUGCAGGUUUAGUUUUAAAUCUACUUGUUGUUUAUCGUCUGUGAAUAAGUUUGGAUCUGGUUUCGUUUGCGAUCUAAGUAAGGUGUUUGGUUUUGUGUUGAAUAUGCUAUUUGUGGGGUGAUGUUUCAAGGCAUUAAAUAUAAAGGAAAUGAAUUGCUUAUAAAAAAACAGCUCAUUCGAGAAAACAAUUCAAUUCAGAUUAAACUAAAGCCAUCAAAUGUGUUCAUUUUCAUUUUGUGGGUGUGUGUGCUUUUUUUGGCAGGGUGUGGAGUUGAAUUUUUUUCUCACAAUGAGGCAUUCAAAAGGAUGAGAUUCUGUCAGAGAUGUUAUAAAAUGUAACAUGAAAAACAAACUUAUGUCUAUGUAGGUACUCAUUGAGAGUUUGAGACCACGAAUCCAUCUAUUGCUUAAUGAAUCAGGUGCCAAAAAGCUUCGAAGUGAAGAUGCUAGCCUUGAGGUUGUGGCAGCUGGUGUUGUUCCAAUUCUUGUUACUAGAGGCAUUGAGAAGACAAAUAAAGUGAGGCAUUGAGAAAACAAAUAAAGCUUUGGUGGCUGUGUUCAAGCCGAUCUCAAACUAGGUUUCGUAGAUCUCGUUGGCCUUUUGUCAUUCGUCUCCCUUGGUGGUCAACAUUUGAAUGUUGGUGGCGCUUUUUUCUUUCUCUCAUAUUCAUCAACGAUUUCUCAGGCAGAGCAGGGAGCAAUUACUUGAACACUAACAAGUUCAUUGAUGUUGUCGCCGAUGAGCUCAAAGCAAGACUCCCCAACAAAUAAUCAUGAUGAUUCCUUAUUGGUUACAUGGUGGUCGAGACUUGAGGGUCAGUUUCAAAGAUUCUAAAGAGGUCUUUUAUUUUCUAUAUUUGUAACUGGAAUUUUGGCGAAUUUAUAUUAGAUACUACCAGACGACUAAGAACGGGUCUCUUUUGGCAUUGCUUUCUUGAUGGAAUUGUUGUAUAUAAACUUAAUUUCAUUUUUCUUAAGUAAAAGAAUGACAGUUAACAACACAUUUCAUCAGCAGACUCCCAAGAUUUGUGGGUAAAAAUAACUAUUUCUUCCGGAUUGCCGGAUUGCCUCACGCGAGUUGUAAUGUUAAAUUUUGUAUAUACUAAAGGAUGCUACAAGUUAGAUAGUAAAGGCUAAAAACUUUAGAGAGCGACGAUAUUUACCCAAAUGUACAGAAAUGUGACAAUCUGAGUUGUUUUGUUAGUCUUAUGGAUUAUUUGGGGGAACAACAUAUAAAAACAUGUGUAAAUGUGCUAUGAGCCCAAGACUAAUAAAAGUACCUAAGUAUCUAUGGGCUUGAUCGAGUGGG
rnacentral:lncRNA from 1 species